rnacentral:tRNA from 1 species
GGAAGGUUAGCUCCAUGGUAGAGUGUGUGCUUAGCAAGCACAAGGUCCUGGGUUCAAUCCCCAGGACCUCCA